rnacentral:rRNA from 1 species
GACGUAGGGCGCGAGCGUUGUCCGGAUUUAUUGGGCGUAAAGAGCUCGUAGGCGGUGUGUCGCGUCGGCCGUGAAAACCUGCAGCUUAACUGUGGCGUGCGGUCGAUACGGGCAUCACUGGAGUUCGGCAGGGGAGACUGGAAUUCCUGGUGUAGCGGUGAAAUGCGCAGAUAUCAGGAGGAACACCGAUGGCGAAGGCAGCCCCCUGGGUCAAGAUUGACGCUCAUGCACGAAAGCGUGGGGAGCAAACAGG